rnacentral:rRNA from 1 species
UUUUUUUAAUUUUUUUUUUCUGCUCAGGACGACGCUGGCGGCGUGCCUAAUACAUGCAAGUCGAGCGGACAGAUGGGAGCUUGCUCCCUGAUGUUAGCGGCGGACGGGUGAGUAACACGUGGGUAACCUGCCUGUAAGACUGGGAUAACUCCGGGAAACCGGGGCUAAUACCGGAUGGUUGUUUGAACCGCAUGGUUCAGACAUAAAAGGUGGCUUCGGCUACCACUUACAGAUGGACCCGCGGCGCAUUAGCUAGUUGGUGAGGUAACGGCUCACCAAGGCGACGAUGCGUAGCCGACCUGAGAGGGUGAUCGGCCACACUGGGACUGAGACACGGCCCAGACUCCUACGGGAGGCAGCAGUAGGGAAUCUUCCGCAAUGGACGAAAGUCUGACGGAGCAACGCCGCGUGAGUGAUGAAGGUUUUCGGAUCGUAAAGCUCUGUUGUUAGGGAAGAACAAGUGCCGUUCAAAUAGGGCGGCACCUUGACGGUACCUAACCAGAAAGCCACGGCUAACUACGUGCCAGCAGCCGCGGUAAUACGUAGGUGGCAAGCGUUGUCCGGAAUUAUUGGGCGUAAAGGGCUCGCAGGCGGUUUCUUAAGUCUGAUGUGAAAGCCCCCGGCUCAACCGGGGAGGGUCAUUGGAAACUGGGGAACUUGAGUGCAGAAGAGGAGAGUGGAAUUCCACGUGUAGCGGUGAAAUGCGUAGAGAUGUGGAGGAACACCAGUGGCGAAGGCGACUCUCUGGUCUGUAACUGACGCUGAGGAGCGAAAGCGUGGGGAGCGAACAGGAUUAGAUACCCUGGUAGUCCACGCCGUAAACGAUGAGUGCUAAGUGUUAGGGGGUUUCCGCCCCUUAGUGCUGCAGCUAACGCAUAAGCACUCCGCUGGGG